GGACCCGCACAAGCGGUGGAUUAUGUGGAUUAAUUCGAUGCAACGCGAAAAACCUUACCUACCCUUGACAUGUCCGAGAGCCUGCUGAGAGGCGGGUGUGCCCGAAAGGGAAUCGGAACACAGGUGCUGCAUGGCUGUCGUCAGCUCGUGUCGUGAGAUGUUGGGUUAAGUCCCGCAACGAGCGCAACCCUUGCCAUUAGUUGCCACUGGAAACGGGGCACUCUAAUGGGACUGCCGGUGACAAACCGGAGGAAGGUGGGGAUGACGUCAAGUCCUCAUGGCCCUUAUGGGUAGGGCUUCACACGUAAUACAAUGGCGCGUACAGAGGGUUGCCAAGGAGCGAUCUGGAGCCAAUCCCGCAAAGCGCGUCGUAGUCCGGAUUGCAGUCUGCAACUCGACUGCAUGAAGUCGGAAUCGCUAGUAAUCGCGGAUCAGCAUGUCGCGGUGAAUACGUUCCCGGGUCUU
rnacentral:rRNA from 1 species